rnacentral:rRNA from 1 species
AUGGGCACGUCGGGCUCCAAGGGGCUGGACGGCGUCGGGGGCCUCGGCGCGGCGGCGCUCGCCGGCGGCGGCGGCGGCGGAAUGGGCGGGGACGAGGGCGACGGCGCCGUGACGGGGUCGUGGCACGGCGGCGCGCAGCUCUACGUGUCGCUCAAGAUGGAGAACGCGCGGAUCAUCGGCGACCUCGUGCCGCACGUCUACGGCUCCGAGCCCAUCAUCGGCUCAUGGGAGCCCGCCCGCGCCCUCGCGAUGGAGAGGGAGCUGGCGUCCAUGUGGGAGCUCAGCUUCGUCGUGCCGCCGGACCAUGAAACACUGGACUUCAAAUUCUUGCUCAAGCCCAAGGAUGCGGAGACCCCUUGCAUCAUUGAGGAAGGGCCGACGCGGCUUCUCACCGGGGGCAUGCUCGAGGGUGAUGUGAGGCUUGCAAACUUCAGGCUUAACGGAGACGAUGAGUUGCUUGAGUUCAGGGUUUUCAACAAGGCCGACAUCGUGUCUCCGCUUGAUCUUGCCGCGAGCUGGAGGGUAUACAAGGAAAAUUUCCAGCCUUCCAAGGUCCGAGGAAUUCCUGAUAUCAGUAUAAAUGAAGCACCCACUCAUGCGACCGAGGAUGGAUCUGGUUCUAGUUUGGAGCUUGACUUAGAGCAUUAUGUUGUUCCAACGCCAACUGCACCACCAACUGAAUAUGCAGCAAACCUUGCUGCAACCCCAGCAUCCUUAGAUCAACCUGAAGGACUGUGGACAAAUGAUAUGCUUCUUAGUGAUGGCAUUCAGAGUCCAAGAAGUGCUGCUGCAGAUUUUAAAGAUGAUAGUUACCAUAAUAAGGAUACUGAGGCUUCAAUAGCAGAUUUUUCUAAUUCUAAGAAGUUACAAGUUUCUGGAAUGGUAGAGUCAAAAUCAGUUGGUACCUUAAUACAACUGCAAAAGAAGGACAGGCCACAAGGGCUUUACAUUGACAGGGGUGUUGUCUCUCCUAAGCUUGGAAAAUCAUUUAGUGCAUGUUCCCUGGCAUCUGGCCUUAAUUUUGGAUCAACAAAGGCCAUGCCAGAAGCAGCAGGAGCUGUUGCAGCUGCAGCUGUAGCUGAUAGGUUGCACGGAUCAAAGGAGGACCGGAAACUGGCUAUUGUUCUGGUUGGCCUACCAGCUCGUGGGAAAACCUUCACCGCAGUUAAGCUUACAAGGUACCUUCGUUGGCUAGGUCAUGAAACAAAACAUUUCAACGUUGGAAAGUACCGCCGUCUGAAGCAUGGAGCGAAUCAGUCUGCAGAUUUUUUCCGUCCUGAUAACCAAGAGGGGAUUGAGGCACGUAAUGAGGUGGCUACUUUAGCAAUGGAAGACAUGAUAGACUGGAUGCACGGAGGAGGUCAGGUUGGUAUAUUUGAUGCAACAAACAGCACAAGGAAAAGAAGAUAUAUGCUAAUGAAGAUGGCUGAAGGGAACUGCAAGAUAAUAUUUCUGGAGACAAUAUGUAAUGAUCGAAACAUAAUCGAAAGGAAUGUACGCCUGAAAAUUCAGCAAAGCCCUGAUUAUGCUGACCAGCCGGAUUAUGAAGCUGGAUUGCAGGACUUCCUUGAACGUUUGACAAAUUAUGAAAAGGUCUACGAGCCAGUGCAGGAAGGCUCAUAUAUCAAAAUGAUUGAUAUGGUAAAAGGGGAGGGUGGCCAGUUACAGGUGAACAAUAUCAGUGGCUAUCUCCCUGGGCGUAUUGUCUUUUUCUUGGUGAAUUCUCAUCUUGCGCCUCGGCCUAUUUUGCUUACCAGGCAUGGUGAGAGUUUACACAAUGUUAGAGGAAGAGUUGGUGGUGACACGGUGCUAAGUGAAGACGGAGAGCUUUACUCAAAGAAACUAGCCAACUUUAUUGAAAAGCGCCUCAAAAAUGAGAAAACUGCAACUAUUUGGACUAGCACUCUACAGAGAACAAUUUUGACAGCAACUCCAAUUGUUGGAUUCCCAAAGAUACAAUGGCGUGCUCUUGAUGAGAUCAAUUCUGGUGUAUGUGAUGGGAUGACGUAUGAAGAGAUAAAGAAAAUUAUGCCUGAGGAAUAUGAGUCACGCAAGAAGGACAAGCUGCGUUAUCGGUACCCACGUGGGGAGUCUUACCUUGAUGUGAUUCAGAGGUUGGAGCCUGUUAUCAUCGAGCUCGAACGCCAGCGAGCACCAGUGGUCGUUAUAUCCCACCAGGCCGUAUUACGAGCGCUGUACUCGUAUUUUGCGGACAGGCCUUUGAGGGAAGUUCCAGACAUGGAGAUGCCACUCCAUACCAUAAUCGAGAUACAAAUGGGCGUCACCGGCGUCGAGGAGAAGAGGUACAAGCUCAUGGAUUGA